rfam:Ixodes scapularis strain Wikel colony gcontig_1108379223302, whole genome shotgun sequence.
UCCUGGUUAGCUCAGUUGGUAGAGCGCUUCAUUGGCAAUGAAGGGGUCCCUGGUUCGAUACCAGUACCAGGCG